rnacentral:rRNA from 1 species
UACGAGUGCUCCAAGCGUUAUCCGGAAUCAUUGGGCGUAAAGGGUGUGUAGGUGGUUGUGUUAGUCUUCUGUUAAAUUCUUCGGCUUAACCGGGGGCAUGCAGGGGAAACGGCACAACUAGAGGAUGCGAGAGGCACAUAGAACUCAUGGAGUAGGGGUGAAAUCCGUUGAUAUCAUGGGGAAUACCGAAAGCGAAGGCAAUGUGCUGGCGCACUCCUGACACUGAGACACGAAAGCGUAGGUAGCGAAUGGG